CGUCAAACUAUACUAGAUGGCCACUGCUCUAGCGUCUGCGAUUGAUGAAUUCUGGCCUCCCGAUAUGUCAAAAUCAUCGGCUGUUGAAGAACGAUCGUUGACUGUUCAAAGGAUUUCGGAAGACAAUCUCGUUUCAGGUACUCCAAGUGCCCUACAACCCUGAUGAUGCUUAUACGGUGGUGUUGUGGUGGCUAGCUACAGUGGGUCUUCUACAAUUGUGCAGUUCUGGGAUGAGUCACGGUGUGCUCAUAAUUCGUAUUUUUUGAAAAUCUCAAUCAACUUCAUCAAACCCGAAACCGGACAAAGCAUCAAGACAGAUGGAUAAGAAAUUUGUGAAGAAUCAGGAUUCCAAGAAAGUACCUGUAGGUCCUAAAGGCCAGCCAUCAAAAAGGAACAACAGAAAAGGGGAAAAGCCUAUGCGAAUCCCACAAAUCACAGAGCCAUGUUCUGGUUCUAGACUCCCAAUUAUAUCGAUCUGCAGGAACGCUGCAUGUAAAGGUGUCAAGAGUCUCCUACCUUGCUGUACAGUUCUUGGAGGAGUCUCCUAAGCAGAAACGCACAACUGAUCACAACUGUU
rnacentral:lncRNA from 1 species